CAAGGUAUAGCCUUAAGCCGAAAGCACCUCACUUACACCGAGAUGAUGUCCGUUAAAGCCGGACUACUUUGAC
rnacentral:tRNA from 1 species